rnacentral:lncRNA from 1 species
CUCGAGGCUCUGUGGCUGCCAUUUUCUCAGAGGUGUCUAUGUGAGUGAAAAACGGUGUCUCAGGAAAUCUUGGUGGCUUCAUCUCAUUUCCAAUGUUCGUGGAAGUAGCACUUCGUUGAAAGCAUUGCUAUAACUAUUCUGCCAUAGGAAUACUUCUGUCUAUCUGCUUUCUCAUCCAAGAAAUUGUCAUCACACUGCUCAGGCUUCGUCUCUGAUGAGAUGUGUCCCUCAAUCCAUACGAAUGAUUUUGCAUCAAAGGACACGCACCUCUUUUGGAAGACUUGAGUUUUGUUCUUAGGAAGGCCGCUUUAGUUGAAUGUGUUAAGUGAAAUGCUUAUACUUUCCUCCCCCUCUGUCAACUGCUGCGGAUGCUGUAUGGUGUGUGCACUCCUCUGUUAUUGAUCUGGAGGAGUAGAAACCUGAGCUGAAGCUGAUAGGCUGAGAACACAGACUGAGCUUAUGGAGUGCUUUGCAGAAGAACUUGGAAGCAGAGUUCUCCAGUGAGCUCAGGUGUCUAAAGGAGGGUGGAAGUUCUC